UACGGGGGGGGCAAGCGUUGUUCGGAAUUACUGGGCGUAAAGGGCUCGUAGGCGGCCAACUAAGUCAGACGUGAAAUCCCUCGGCUUAACCGGGGAACUGCGUCUGAUACUGGAUGGCUAGAGGUUGGGAGAGGGAUGCGGAAUUCCAGGUGUAGCGGUGAAAUGCGUAGAGAUCUGGAGGAACACCAAAGGCGAAGGCAGUCUCCUGGGAGUUACCUGACGCUGUGGCGCGAAAGCCAGGGGAGCGAACGGG
rnacentral:rRNA from 1 species